GACGAACGCUGGCGGCGUGCUUAACACAUACAAGUCGAACGAUGAAGCCGGAGCUUGCUCUGGUGAAUUAGUGGCGAACGGGUGAGUAACACGUGAGUAACCUGCCCUUGACUCUGGGAUAACUGCGGGAAACUGUAGCUAAUACCGGAUACGACCCUCGGAGGCAUCUCCUGGGGGUGGAAAGAAUUUCGGUCAAGGAUGGACUCGCGGCCUAUCAGCUAGUUGGUGAGGUAAAGGCUCACCAAGGCGACGACGGGUAGCCGGCCUGAGAGGGUGACCGGCCACACCGGGACUGAGACACGGCCCAGACUCCUACGGGAGGCAGCAGUGGGGAAUAUUGCACAAUGGGCGCAAGCCUGAUGCAGCAACGCCGCGUGAGGGAUGACGGCCUUCGGGUUGUAAACCUCUUUUAGCAGGGAAGAAGCGAAAGUGACGGUACCUGCAGAAAAAGCACCGGCUAACUACGCGCCAGCAGCCGCCGCCG
rnacentral:rRNA from 1 species